GUCUAGAUAGCUCAGUGGUAGAGCAUUGGGUUGAAAACCCUUGUGUCACGAGUUCAACUCUCGUUCUAGACA
rnacentral:tRNA from 2 species